rnacentral:misc_RNA from 1 species
AAGUCGUAACAAGGUAACCGUAGGUGAACCUGCGGUUGGAUCAUUACUGAUUACCAACUCUUUGGGUUGAUUCGAAAGAGUCCCCUUUGAGUUGAUCAACCCCUUUGUGCACUGUACUGUUUUUUGGGUCUCUUUCCGGUGUAUUGAAGAUGUAGGUCGAAGCGUGAGAAUCCUAAGGGUUGACUCGAAAGGGUCCCUGAGGUUGAAUCGAGCGUGUCCCUACUGAUUUAGUACUCCUUGAGGCCCAGCCAUUAACCAACCCCUUUAAUUUGACUUAAUCCUAUGAAAAUAGAAACAACUUUUGACAACGGAUCUCUUGGCUCCA